CUCUUUGUUAUUUUUGCAGAUAUUCUGUAUGACUCGUGGUCUCCAGCCAGGACGGUUAGUUCAGUCUGCAUCAGCAUUCUCUCCAUGCUAUCGAGUUCACCGGAAAAGCAACGUCCCGCUGAUAACGACCGAUAUGUAAAGAACUGCAAGAACGGGAGGUCUCCUAAAGAGACAAGAUGGUGGUUUCAUGACGACAAGGCAUGAUGAUGAUGAUGAUGAUGGUGAUGAUAUGAUCAAACAUCAUAAAUAAAUGAAAAAGAGGUUUUAUAUAAUUUCCCCAGACUGAUAGUAACUAAUUGGAAUUCCUUGUGGCCUCAACUCUUUUUCUUUCUUUCUCUCUAUCUUUUGUAUGGAUGAUGAUUAUGUAUGGAAGACAUCUGAAAUGUCUCACACCUUGAAUUAACAGUUUCCGCUUUCGUCUC